rnacentral:rRNA from 1 species
GCAGCGACGCCGCGUGAGGGAUGACGGCCUUCGGGUUGUAAACYUCUUUCAGUAGGGAAGAAGCGAAAGUGACGGUACCUGCAGAAGAAGCGCCGGCUAACUACGUGCCAGCAGCCGCGGUAAUACGUAGGGCGCGAGCGUUAUCCGGAAUUAUUGGGCGUAAAGAGCUCGUAGGCGGUUUGUCGCGUCUGCCGUGAAAGUCCGGGGCUUAACCCCGGAUCUGCGGUGGGUACGGGCAGACUAGAGUGCAGUAGGGGAGACUGGAAUUCCUGGUGUAGCGGUGAAAUGCGCAGAUAUCAGGAGGAACACCGAUGGCGAAGGCAGGUCUCUGGGCUGUAACUGACGCUGAGGAGCGAAAGCAUGGGGAGCGAACAGGAUUAGAUACCCUGGUAGUCCAUGCCGUAAACGUUGGGCACUAGGUGUGGGGGACAUUCCACGUUUUCCGCGCCGUAGCUAACGCAUUAAGUGCCCCGCC